AGGACUAUGCUGACCUAAAUUGCUUUAGCAACCACUAGAACAUUAUACAGGAUUUGAUAGUAUUUUCCUCUGAGGACUAUCUGUUUAUAUACAUUAUCUGUGCUCGAAGUGGGAUGAAAACACAUUUCAGAUUUUACAGGAAAUUAAAAACACAAUUUUUAUCUCCCCCUUUUUGUGGCUUUACUUCUCUUCCUUAUCAUUUAAAGGUUAUCUGGUGCUUGUAGCUUCUGUAACAAACGUGAUCUGUAACUUGUAGCAUAUAAGGUUAUAAACAAGCCUGUUUGCUUAGAAGAGGAAAGUUAAGCCACCUGCUUUGGACAAUGGUCACAAGAAUGCAAACGGACCUAGGCUGCCGGGUUCCGUCUGGCACCAGUAGAGGAACACAUUUUGGACAGAAUGCCACGGAAUCGCACUCCUGCACCUGACCUGUCGUUUCUGCAGAUAUUUCAUGAGAAUAAGUAUCGAUGAUUUUCAGUGGCAAUAAAACUUGCUUUAAUCUUUGACCUGGACACCGUAAACAGGAGCCCAGUAGGUAAAGACCUGGGUGUGCCCCACGGCGCAGGUCGUCGGUAGGGCACGCCCCUCCCUCCGCCUCGGCCAAUCGGGAGCGAGGAGUCGCCCGGAGACACUGGAGGUGGGCUCGGAAAGGGGUGCCUGGGCGCAGAAAUCGGUGUGUCCCAGAACUUGGCGAUUUCCUGGGUGGGUCGUGCUCGUGAGUAGGGAGAAAAGGCUGGCUGGGGCUUCUUCCUCUGGGGUCAGUAAAUAGAGGCAGAGAUGGGGACAGGAGGGAAGAGGUGCGUGGACGAAGUGCCGGCGUCUGUCCAAGGAUGCCCUUCUUCCAGGGUGGGGAGCGCAGGGUGUGGUCUGGGGUAGCAGGAAGCACGGUUGUGGUGGGAAGCCACUCUUGGCAUGGC